rnacentral:rRNA from 1 species
UGGGGAAUCUUGCACAAUGGGGGAAACCCUGAUGCAGCGACGCCGCGUGAGCGAUGAAGCCCUUCGGGGUGUAAAGCUCUUUCGACAGGGACGAUAAUGACGGUACCUGGAGAAGAAGCUGCGGCUAACUACGUGCCAGCAGCCGCGGUAAUACGUAGGCAGCAAACGUUGUUCGGAGUUACUGGGCGUAAAGAGUGCGUAGGCGGUUCGCCAAGUUCGGUGUGAAAUCUCCCGGCUUAACUGGGAGGGUGCGCCGAAAACUGGCGGGCUUGAGUGUGGGAGAGGGAAGCGGAAUUCCUGGUGUAGCGGUGAAAUGCGUAGAUAUCAGGAGGAACACCGGUGGUGUAGACGGCUUCCUGGACCACAACUGACGCUGAGGCACGAAAGCGUGGGUAGCAAACA